rnacentral:rRNA from 1 species
CCCUUAGAUGUCCUGGGCCGCACGCGCGCUACACUGACAUGUUCAACAAGCCUCCUAGUUCGACAGGAUUUGGGAAAUCUUUGAACGCAUGUCGUGAUAGGGAUAGAUCAUUGCAAUUAUUGAUCUUGAACGAGGAAUUCCUAGUAAACGCGAGUCAUCAGCUCGCAUUGAUUACGUCCCUGCCCUUUGUACACACCGCCCGUCGCACCUACCGAUUGAAUGUUUCGGUGAAGAUUCCGGAUAGGACUUUUUUGAUUUAUUUCAAUUGUGUCUUAAAAGCUAUCUAAACCUCAACAUUUAGAGGAAGGUGAAGUCGUAACA